UACGGAGGGAGCUAGCGUUAUUCGGAAUUACUGGGCGUAAAGCGUACGUAGGCGGCUUUGCAAGUUAGAGGUGAAAGCCUGGAGCUCAACUCCAGAACUGCCUUUAAAACUGCAUCGCUUGAAUCCAGGAGAGGUGAGUGGAAUUCCGAGUGUAGAGGUGAAAUUCGUAGAUAUUCGGAAGAACACCAGUGGCGAAGGCGGCUCACUGGACUGGUAUUGACGCUGAGGUACGAAAAGCGUGGGGAGCAAACAGG
rnacentral:rRNA from 1 species